rnacentral:rRNA from 1 species
CACGUAGUUAGCCGUGGCUUAUUCAUUCGGUACCGUCACUUUCUUCGUCCCGAAUAAAAGAAGUUUACAACCCGAAAGCCUUCUUCCUUCACGCGGCGUUGCUGGGUCAGGCUUGCGCCCAUUGCCCAAUAUUCCCCACUGCUGCCUCCCGUAGGAGUCUGGGCCGUGUCUCAGUCCCAAUGUGGCCGGCCAACCUCUCAGUCCGGCUACUGAUCGUCGCCUUGGUGGGCCAUUACCCCGCCAACUAGCUAAUCAGACGCGAGCUCAUCUCAGAGCGAUAAAUCUUUGGCAUCCAAACCAUGCGACUCAGAUGCAUCAUGCGGUAUUAGCGGCUGUUUCCAGCCGUUAUUCCCCACUCCAAGGCAGAUUGCUCACGCGUUACUCACCCGUCCGCCACUUUCCUCAGCUUCCCUCAGACGAAUCCUUGUUCCACUGAUUCUCGUUCGACUUGCAUGUGUUAAGCACGCCGCCAGCGUUCAUCCUGAGCCA